rnacentral:rRNA from 1 species
GACGAACGCUGGCGGCGUGCUUAACACAUGCAAGUCGAACGGAAAGGCCCUGCUUGCAGGGUACUCGAGUUGCGAACGGGUGAGUAACUCGUGGGUGAUCUGCCCUGCACUUCGGGAUAAGCCAGUGCAACUGGGUCUAGUACCUGAUAGGAGCCAUUUUUAGUGUGAUGGUUGGAAAGUUUUUUCGGUGUAUGAUGAGCUCGCGGGCUAUCUGCUUGUUGGUGGGGUGAUGGGCUACCAAAGCGGCGACGGGUAGCCGGACUGAGUGGGUGACCGGCGAUAUUGGGACUGAGAGAAGGCCGCGGCGCCGAAGGGAGGCAGCAGUGCGGAAUACUGACCGAUGGGCGCCAGCCUGAUGAAGAAAGGCCGCGUGGGGGAAGACGCCCUUAGGGUUGUAAACUCCUUGCGCAAGGGACGAAGCUUUUUGUGACGGUACCUAGAUAAGAAGCCCCGGCUAACUACGUG